rnacentral:lncRNA from 1 species
AUAUCUGUGCACAUUAUUAAUGUUCACGAAAAUACUUAUUUCGAUUUAAAACACCGCAAGUGUAUAUUUCGUUAACAAGUAAUAAAGUGGAUGUUAAGUCCAAGUAUCGUUCCAUAAGGAUUGAUUUAGUUCAAUUUCUAUUAUUGUAACCUUAACAGAUGAGAAUGUGUUUGUUUCGAAUUGAUUAUACCUAAGCUUGAUUAUGUAUGCAAUUAUGUAUGAAUUAAAUUAAAUUAAAUGUAAAAUUAUAUUUGAAUGCAAGUUUGAUGAAAUCAAUGAAUAUGAAGUGCACUAGGAUCACGAAUCCUCAAGUAAUGCUUACUUUUAAACCUAGUUCUACAAUUUGACAACACGAUGAAUUUUUGAAGAAUCAGUGCUCAUAAAUCUAUUCAACAAUCUUUCUUGAAUAAUGUUGAACCUACUCUCACAUACCACCAGCCCAUAUCUCUAUAACGAGUGCAAAUAUACUAGAAUACAUGUGAUUUUGUGAACACUUAAAAAUUCACACAAGGCUUAAUAGUAUAUCCCUAUUCUCUAUCAGAACCUACAAUGAUUUAUACCCUGUCGAACUUAUUCACCUUCUCUCGAAUGCCUGAAAUAAGUCAUCACACUUGCACAAUUACGUGCACAUAAUUAUAGAAGUAAUUAAUUGUAUAUAAAUCAUUGAAC